rnacentral:tRNA from 1 species
GAGGGUAUGGCUCAGUGGUAGAGCACAUGCCUAGCAUACAUGAGGUCCUGGGUUCAAUCCCCAGUACCUCCA